AGACUCAGAAAUGCUGUUCAAGGUUUGUCUGUGUUUGUUCAUACAAUAUAUUUCUCUUCGCUUCAUUUCUUCUUUGGGUGGUUUUAAUUUUCCAUGUUCUGAAAUAAUUAUGUAUUUAUUAUUAUGGAUAUGAACAUAUAUCAUCUCUCUGCUCUUUUCUUUUUGUGGGUUCUUUGAAUUUAUAGAUUUUCUUAUCAAAUUUAAAAUUUUUUGUCCAUAACUUCCUUCGAGACGACAGGAACUUAAUAUUUUGACCCAAUUUUCAAUUUAAGAGCUCUUAUUUAACAGGCCAAAAGUGGACUGAAUAUUUUCUCAAUUGAAAAUUAAUUUUUCUGUUGUUUUUGGUGAUU
rnacentral:misc_RNA from 1 species